CUUCACUGUCCAACUCACCUAAUAAUUCUAUACUCAGAAUUUUAGUGACCUGUAAACUAACAAAAAUAGCCACGUUAUAACUAUAGAGGAGUACCCCCUCACCCCAAACCACCACUUUUAACCGAAAUCUUGCAAUUAGGUAUUCAUUUCGCAUAACUUGGUCAUUUACAACAUAAAACCAUUGUACAUGUAUGUGUGAAGGUG